rnacentral:piRNA from 1 species
UGCUGGUUUCCUCUACCUUCCACAGGGGAGU